rnacentral:rRNA from 1 species
ACGCACGCUGGCGGCGUGCUUAACACCUGCAAGUCGAACGGAAAGGCCCCUUUGGGGGUCCUCGAGUGGCGAACGGGUGAGUAACACGUGAGUAACCUGCCCUUGACUUCGGGAUAACUUCAGGAAACUGGGGCUAAUACCGGAUAGGAAUCCUUGCUGCAUGGUGGGGGUUGGAAAGCUUCGGCGGUUUUGGAUGGACUCGCGGCUUAUCAGCUUGUUGGUGGGGUAGUGGCUUACCAAGGCUUUGACGGGUAGCCGGCCUGAGAGGGCGACCGGCCACAUUGGGACUGAGAUACGGCCCAGACUCCUACGGGAGGCAGCAGUGGGGAAUAUUGCACAAUGGGCGGAAGCCUGAUGCAGCAACGCCGCGUGCGGGAUGACGGCCUUCGGGUUGUAAACCGCUUUCAGCAGGGGCGAAGCUUGUGGUGACGGUACCUGCAGAAGAAGCACCGGCUAACUACGUG